AUCGCUACCUCACUGAGGGACCAGUAUAUUAAACUGAUUUUUGUAAAGCGACGGGAUGUUCGGAGCUCGCUCCACUCCCGUCACGGGUCGGCCCGGCAUUGCAGUGCCGCCGGGAUCGGCCCACAGAAA
rnacentral:snRNA from 1 species